rnacentral:rRNA from 1 species
CGUCUUUUCUGGAUAAUAAUAUAAGAUUUAGCCUGCCCACUGAAAAUUUAAAUGGCCGCGGUAUUUUGACCGUGCAAAGGUAGCAUAAUAAUUAGUUUUUUGAUUGAAAGCUGGAAUGAAUGGCUGGACGAGAAAAUCUCUGUCUCUAAUUAAUUUUUAUUGAAUUUUAUUUUUGAGUAAAAAAGCUCAAAUUUUGUUAAAAGACGAGAAGACCCUAUAGAGUUUUAUAUUUAAUAUAUAGGGUAAUUAAAAGAAUUAAAAUUUUUUUAUAUAUUAAUUAUUUUAUUGGGGUGAUAAAAAGAUUAAAUAAACUCAUUUUUGUUUUUUUACAUUAAUAUAUGAAUAUAUGAUCCAUUUUUUGUGAUUAAAAGAUUAAAUUACCUUAGGGAUAACAGCGUAAUCUUUUUAGAGAGUUCUUAUCGAAAUGAAGGGUUGCGACCUCGAUGUUGGAUUAAAGUUAAUUUUUGGUGCAGAAGCUAAAAAAUUGAGUCUGUUCGACUUUUAAAACUUUACAUGAUCUGAGU